UGGGAUUUAGCUCAGUGGUAGAGCGCUUGCCUAGCAAGCACAAGGCCCUGGGUUCGGUCCCCAGUUCCAA
rnacentral:tRNA from 1 species